rnacentral:misc_RNA from 1 species
CCCCGUCAAUUCAUUUAAGUUUCAUCGUUGCCGACGUACUCCCCAGGUGGUUCACUUAACGCUUUCGCUUAGACACAUAAACAUAAUCGUACAUAUGUCGAGUGAACAUCGUUUAGGGCGUGGACUACCAGGGUAUCUAAUCCUGUUCGCUACCCACGCUUUCGUCCAUUAGCGUCAGAUCUAGUCCAGUGAGCUGCCUUCGCAAUCGGUGUUCUGUAGCAUAUCUACGCAUUUCACCGCUACAUGCUACAUUCCGCCCACCUCUACUACUCUCAAGUCCGCCAGUAUCAAUGGCAGCAUCAAGGUUGAGCCCUGAUAUUUCACCACUGACUUAACAGACCGCCUGCGGACCCUUUAAACCCAGUAAAUCCGGAUAACGCUUGCACCCUACGUAUUACCG